AUUGAACGCUGGCGGCAGGCCUAACACAUGCAAGUCGAGCGGAUGAAGGGAGCUUGCUCCUGGAUUCAGCGGCGGACGGGUGAGUAAUGCCUAGGAAUCUGCCUGGUAGUGGGGGAUAACGUCCGGAAACGGGCGCUAAUACCGCAUACGUCCUGAGGGAGAAAGUGGGGGAUCUUCGGACCUCACGCUAUCAGAUGAGCCUAGGUCGGAUUAGCUAGUUGGUGGGGUAAAGGCCUACCAAGGCGACGAUCCGUAACUGGUCUGAGAGGAUGAUCAGUCACACUGGAUGUGAGACACGGUCCAGACUCCUACGGGAGGCAGCAGUGGGGAAUAUUGGACAAUGGGCGAAAGCCUGAUCCAGCCAUGCCGCGUGUGUGAAGAAGGUCUUCGGAUUGUAAAGCACUUUAAGUUGGGAGGAAGUGCAGUAAGUUAAUACCUUGCUGUUUUGACGUUACCAACAGAAUAAGCACCGGCUAACUUCGUG
rnacentral:rRNA from 1 species